GACGAACGCUGGCGGCGUGCUUAACACAUGCAAGUCGAACGGUGAACCUCUUCGGAGGGGCUCAGUGGCGAACGGGUGAGUAACCCGUGGGCAACCUGCCCCCGGCUCUGGGAUAACUCCAAGAAAUUGGGGCUAAUACCGGAUGUUCACCGCUUCCCGCAUGGGUGGUGGUGAAAAGGGUUUCCGGCUGGUGAUGGGCCCGCGGCCUCUCAGCUUGAUGGUGGGGUGGUGGCCUACCAAGGCGAUGACGCGUAGCCUGUCUGAGAGGGUGACCGGCCACACUGGAAGUGAGACACGGUCCAGACGCCUAAGGGAGGCAGCAGGGGGGACGAUUGGAGAAUGGGCGCAAGCCUGAUCCAGCCAUACCGCGUGGGUGAAGAAGGCCUUCGGGUUGUAAAGCCAUUUUGUUGGGAAAGAAAAGCAGCAGGUUAAUACCACGCGGUUCUGACGGUACCCAAAGAAUAAGCACCGGCGAACUUCGG
rnacentral:rRNA from 1 species